rnacentral:misc_RNA from 1 species
UGAGAUGAUAAUAUAGUGCAUUAAAAGUAGAUUUAAUAAUAAUAACAAUAAUACAAACUAAAUAUCUAUCACAUGUCUUGGCACAUCUUUUCAGCUAUUAAAAUGAGAUAACAAAAGAUCAAAGAGGGAAUACAAAAUUUCUGAGAUCAUUGAAUUAGAAGUAGUCCGAGAGUAACCAUUCUUCCAGUAGAUUGUCGAUUAUAUUUCCCUUCAAAUUCAUGGAAAGAAAGUCUUUGAUCCCACAUAAUAGAGGACCAUCAAAUGAC